rnacentral:misc_RNA from 1 species
AACCAUAGAAACCUGCGGAGUACCUGCGGAGGGAUCAUUACAGAGUGUAAAAACUCCCAAACCCUUUGUGAAUCUACCUAUUCUUUGUUCCUUCGGUAGGCGGUCCCUGGGAGGGACCUAUAGCCCAGAUGGGUGCCUGCCGAAGAACAUCUCAAACUCUGUUACCGUGGUGUUAUUCUGAGUAACUACAAAAUAAGAUAAAAACUUUUAACAAUGGAUCU